GAAAAAGUACUUCUAAACAUGAGCAUGCAGGCUCUCCACUGAUACAACUCUAAUCUCCACCAGCUACAAACAAGACAACUCUACUGGCCAAGUAUGUUGACAAGUUAGGCCGCCAGCGCCAAGAACAAAGAUAAAGACGGAUACAAAUGUAGACACACAGCUAAACAAAGAUAAACAAAGACAAGCAAACAUGAGCAUUUAGGUCAUCUGAGGCCAGAAAGUUAAAGAUCUAUGUAAAUACUUGCUUGGUCACAGAUCUGGCUGUAACAACGUCGGAACUCUGCCAGUAGUGGUUGCUAUAGCAACAGAAUGUUCAACUGUAACCAACUACUGGUGGCAGAAUGAGACGUAUUAAUGUGAUGCAAAGUAACUAAGUACGUUUACUCAGGUACUACUGUACUUAAGUACAAUUUUGAGGUACUUCUACUAUGAGCAUCUGGAAGAUAGCCUACAUCGCUGCGCUGCUCUUGUGGCCAUCGUUUUCACACACUUGACGUUUGUGCCUCGGGAAUGUGGUCAGCUGAUGACUCAGGAAAAGUCUGAAUCGAGAGCUGUUGUUUCCUGCAUGCCAGACUGUGGUGGUGGAGAUGACAGCUAAUGAAAAACCCUCCCAGCUAUUUUUGACCUUUUCCUGUUGACUACGUGUUCACUGUCAUACGCUCCGGCACUCUUAACAGUGGCCAGAUGUCCCAGAUGCCUGGGCGGGCUCU